rnacentral:ncRNA from 19 species
AUUUCUUCAACCCAUAAAGGUGCCUCUUAUUAUCAGAGGAGAAUAGGGAAUCACGUUUAACUCGUGAGCUGUCGCGCAACUGUAAGCGUCGCAAAUUAUUCUAUUUAACAACAUCCACUGUUCCUAGAAGGAAUGGGAAGGAUAAAUAGAAAUGACGCAAGCCAGGAUACCUGCCUUUAUUGGAUUGACAAUA